rnacentral:lncRNA from 1 species
GGAAUAGACGAUAGAAAAAUGGUCGUGGUCCGGGUGCGAGUAGAUCGCCCGCGGAGACAGGAGCGCAAGGAUGCCGUAGACUGCCAUUGGCGCACUCGGAGGGGGCUGCUCGUUCAUUGGCCGAGAGAACUUGGAUGAUGGCGGCGGUGAGCGCACGCAACGGUCGUCAUUUCGUCGUCACGCUCGACGCACCGGCAGACGACGCCAUCGCCGUGGAUCUUUUUCACGCUGCAUCGGGAGUCUGCGUUUGGACUCGUUGGGAAAAACGUCCCGAUUAAAAACCGAGGAAAGAAAAUAUGAAUUACUCGUUGCGACGGUGGGACGCGCCAAAUUUUUUUUUUUCAAAAACUACAACCACCGAUGCGACACCCCAUGAUUUUCACGACCACGCGUUAAAGUCUCGGCAAACGAAAACUGACGCAUGCAAGGAGGGCGGCGGGGAGGGUGUUGCGUUGGAUCAAGGAAACAACCAUGGCGGUUGUGCGAUGUAAAGUAUUAUUGUCACGUGCAACCAUUUCAUACUGUUUACGUGGUGGUAGCGGUGGUAAAAGCUGAUGGUUCGAGCGAACGAUAAGCGACUUUGUUUUUCGAAUUUCGAAGCAUUUUUUUACGCAAGGCAAAGUUUGCGGUCGACGCCACCGGCUCGGCCACCCACGUGCUUCUUGGCUCUGUCGGUAAUUUGAAAAUUAAAUUCACACGCAGCGGGGGAGCGACGAAAAAAAGUCGCUGGUGCAGAGUGCGCCUUGACACGUAGACUGCUGCAGGUAAACGCGUUCGCGCUACCGAGUAACCAAAACAACAACAACAACAACAACAACGACGACGAUGAAAAAUUCCCUCAAAAAUGUAUACAAAGUAGCAUCAACAGUCGCGCGGCGAAAUGGGUAGUGAAUCAAAGCAACAAUGAAUCUAAUUGUAAGUCCGAAACAGACGGUGAGAAAAAAUUGCCUCGUAUCUUAAAAAACUACAACCUUGGCGAUUCCGUGUCACCGUUCCGUACGCAUACCCCCCCGUGCAGGGGGCGUUCGAACGCAUCGUGCACAGGAACACGUUGAAUCCUCGGUGCGUCGGGGGAUCGUGGGACUCGUAUCGGUUGCAUUACGGUCUUGUUGUUACCGGCGGAGUGUUCGUCGGUCCGUCCCGGUGCGAACAAGUGUACCCCGUGCUCGGGUCGACCGGGGGGGCUCGUCACCUGGCCCGAGGCCGACGCCCCACCUCGAGGAAUAUACACGCCCUCUCGAUUUUCAUCGCGUACAUUCGUUAUUCGAUGUUGUCACCGCGAUCCGCAUCGCAAGUGUUCACCCGCAACGGAUUUUUUUUUCACCCAAAGUUCGUCCGGGUGCACGGGCCGGUUUCCCCUCCCCGCCCCUUUCCGGAUCUAAUCUGUCCCGGGACGUGGUGUAAAAUUUUUAAUAAUCAUUAUCGGUUAUAUCGAACGCGGUGUGUCGAUUCCUCGGCAAACUAGGAGGAGACCGAGAAACGGGUUUCACGCAACAGAGUAAAACAAACGUCUAUGGGGAAGCGAGUGGUGGUGGUGGUGGUCGUGGUCGUGGUCGUCGUCGUCGUCGUCGUCGGUGGACAAGAGAUCUCCCGCUGCUAUUAUUUUGGCGGUGUGGGGAUAAAAUUUGACAACGCGGCCGCGCGCAGUCGUCGUCGACGAGAAAACGGAGUGUGGUUGUUCUCGUUCGGUUUCCAGCUUCGGCAAGUUCCGACGUGCGCGUACACCCGAUAAUCGAAAGUACAGCGUUGCCGUUGCGAAAGACGUCGUCGGCACCGCGUCCGCGAGAUGGAGCCGAAGCUCGCCUCGCCGCUUUUCAAUUCUGGAACCCCGUUUGCGCCGUCCCGGUCACUCGCGGGACUGUACCGCACACUUUCGGAAGCCAGGUAGCCGCCGCCGAGGAUACGGUCCGUUCGUCGGUCAUGCGCGACUCUCGCCCUACCCUAUAAACCGAGCGAAGUAUCCACCGCCAAUCCGAUUCCUUCGACUUCCGACGAAGCAGGUUCGUGCCAAACGGCGAGCGAACCCACCACCACCACCACCACCACCACCUACCCGCCGUAGAACGAAGGAAAACGCGUGGGCGAAGCGACGCGCAUGCAGCGUUUUCAUUUUUAAACAGGGAGGAGAACG